rnacentral:ncRNA from 1 species
AUGCAUUGAGAUCGGAAAGAACACCAACGGCGAAAGCACUCUGCUGGGCCGACACUGACACUGAGAGACGAAAGCUAGGGGAGCAAAUGGGAUUAGAGACCCCAGUAGUCCUAGCCGUAAACGAUGGAUACUAGGUGCUGUGCGACUCGACCCGUGCAGAGCUGUAGCUAACGCGUUAAGUAUCCCGCCUGGGGAGUACGUUCGCAAGAAUGAAACUCAAAGGAAUUGACGGGGGCCCGCACAAGCGG